rnacentral:rRNA from 1 species
CAGUCGCCACGGGAAUACGUAGGGUGCAAGCGUUAAUCGGAAUUACUGGGCGUAAAGCGUGCGCAGGCGGUUGUGUAAGACAGGUGUGAAAUCCCCGGGCUUAACCUGGGAAUUGCAUUUGUGACUGCACGACUAGAGUGUGUCAGAGGGGGGUGGAAUUCCACGUGUAGCGGUGAAAUGCGUAGAGAUGUGGAGGAAUACCGAAGGCGAAGGCAGCCCCUUGGGAAUGUACUGACGCUCAUGUGCGAAAGCGUGGGGAGCAAACAGGAUUAGAUACCCGAGUAGUCCCUGUCUCUUAUAC